CACGUAGGGGGCAAGCGUUGUCCGGAUUUAUUGGGCGUAAAGAGCUCGUAGGUGGUUCCGUCAGUCGGGUGUGAAAACUCUGGGCUCAACCCAGAGACGCCACCCGAUACUGCGGUGACUAGAGUCCGGUAGGGGAGCGUGGAAUUCCUGGUGUAGCGGUGAAAUGCGCAGAUAUCAGGAGGAACACCAAUGGCGAAGGCAGCUCGCUGGGACGUGACUGACGCUGAGACGCGAAAGCGUGGGGAGCAAACAGG
rnacentral:rRNA from 1 species